rnacentral:rRNA from 1 species
GACGAACGCUGGCGGCGUGCUUAACACAUGCAAGUCGAACGGAAAGGCCCUGCUUUUGUGGGGUGCUCGAGUGGCGAACGGGUGAGUAACACGUGAGUAACCUGCCCUUGACUUUGGGAUAACUUCAGGAAACUGGGGCUAAUACCGGAUAGGAGCUCCUGCUGCAUGGUGGGGGUUGGAAAGUUUCGGCGGUUGGGGAUGGACUCGCGGCUUAUCAGCUUGUUGGUGGGGUAGUGGCUUGCCAAGGCUUUGACGGGUAGCCGGCCUGAGAGGGUGACCGGCCACAUUGGGACUGAGAUACGGCCCAGACUCCUACGGGAGGCAGCAGUGGGGAAUAUUGCACAAUGGGCGGAAGCCUGAUGCAGCAACGCCGCGUGCGGGAUGACGGCCUUCGGGUUGUAAACCGCUUUCACCUGUGACGAAGCGUGAGUGACGGUAAUGGGUAAAGAAGCACCGGCUAACUACGUG